AGAGUUUGAUCCUGGCUCAGGAUGAACGCUGGCGGCGUGCCUAACACAUGCAAGUCGAGCGGGAAAUCCGUGACGGAUCCUUCGGGUGACGGAUCGGAUGGAGAGCGGCGGACGGGUGAGUAACGCGUAGGUAACCUGCCCUGUACAGAGGGAUAGCCACUGGAAACGGUGAUUAAUACCUCAUAAUGCCGGAUCUGCACAUGCAGGACCGGUCAAAGUUUUUUCGGUACAGGAUGGACCUGCGUCUGGUUAGCUUGUUGGUGGGGUAACGGCUUACCAAGGCGACGAUCAGUAGCCGACCUGAGAGGGUGAUCGGCCACAUUGGAACUGAGACACGGUCCAAACUCCUACGGGAGGCAGCAGUGGGGAAUAUUGCACAAUGGGGGAAACCCUGAUGCAGCAACGCCGCGUGAACGAAGAAGGCUCUUGGGUCGUAAAGUUCUGUUCUGAGGGAAGAAGAAAGUGACGGUACCUCAGGAGAAAGCCCCGGCUAACUACGUGCCAGCAGCCGCGGUAAUACGUAGGGGGCAAGCGUUGUCCGGAAUUAUUGGGCGUAAAGAGUACGUAGGCGGUCUGGUAAGCGCAAGGUGAAAGGCAUAGGCUCAACCAAUGUCAGCCUUGCGAACUGUCAGACUUGAGUGCAGGAGGGGAAAGUGGAAUUCCUAGUGUAGCGGUGAAAUGCGUAGAUAUUAGGAGGAACACCAGUGGCGAAGGCGACUUUCUGGACUGUAACUGACGCUGAGGUACGAAAGCGUGGGGAGCAAACAGGAUUAGAUACCCUGGUAGUCCACGCCGUAAACGAUGAGCACUAGGUGUCGGGGCCGCAGGGCUUCGGCGCCGCAGUUAACGCAUUAAGUGCUCCGCCUGGGGAGUACGCACGCAAGUGUGAAACUCAAAGGAAUCGACGGGGGCCCGCACAAGCGGUGGAGCAUGUGGUUUAAUUCGAAGCAACGCGAAGAACCUUACCAGGUCUUGACAUCUUCUGACAAUUCCAGAGAUGGAACGUUCCCUUCGGGGACAGAAUGACAGGUGGUGCAUGGUUGUCGUCAGCUCGUGUCGUGAGAUGUUGGGUUAAGUCCCGCAACGAGCGCAACCCUUAUUGUCAGUUGCCAUCAUUAAGUUGGGCACUCUGGCGAGACUGCCGGUGACAAACCGGAGGAAGGUGGGGAUGACGUCAAAUCAUCAUGCCCCUUAUGACCUGGGCUACACACGUGCUACAAUGGACGGUACAACGAGUCGCUAACUCGCGAGGGCAAGCUAAUCUCUUAAAGCCGUUCUCAGUUCGGAUUGCAGGCUGCAACUCGCCUGCAUGAAGUCGGAAUCGCUAGUAAUCGCGAAUCAGCAUGUCGCGGUGAAUACGUUCCCGGGCCUUGUACACACCGCCCGUCACACCAUGAGAGUUUGUAACACCCAAAGUCGGUGGGGUAACCUUUUGGAGCCAGCCGCCUAAGGUGGGACAGAUGAUUGGGGUGGAGUCGUAACAAGGUA
rnacentral:rRNA from 1 species